UGCCUAGCAACUCCUAUCCCUACCUCCUCGUGGUACUGGCCGGGGAACGAGUAACCAUGAGGAAGAUCGAGUAACCAACCCCGAUGGGAACUUUGGUCGUAUGCUGACAGGAAAGA
rfam:Aedes aegypti strain Liverpool supercont1.815 genomic scaffold, whole genome shotgun sequence.